UAAUGAUCUUACCUAUAAAGGAACAGUGUUACCCUUGGAGUUGGCAGGUAUGGUGAAACUCUAGGGUGGCUCCUAGGAGGUUAAAGACAAAGAAAGAACAAAUCGGUAAAGGAAUAGUCCACUGGCUGUGAAAAUUUGGAGUCUGUGCAGAAUAAGCAUUAUCUUAACAAUGGAGUUGAGUAUUAUUAGAAUGAGAUGCUGGGGCAAGGCAUAGUUCAACUCAAACAAAAGUAACGACAUCGGAGAAUACGGCCAAGUCAGUGGAUACAAAAGAAGAUAUGGAUAAAGCAUGCUAGACAGUUGGGUUCAGAAGGAACUACCACAUACGCAAAGAGAGAAAAAUAUGACAUGCAGUGAAAGGAAAAUAUAGCAGAAGCAGACCCCAAAAUGGCAUAAACAAUACUAUAUUGUAUAGAAGAACAAUCAACCCAUAAUCAGAAGACAAUUUCACAGUGGCAGGGGAGAAAUGGAGCCUGAAGAAGUAUUUUCCAGAAAACACACCAAAGAGAAACAAGUUGCAACUGGACUUCUCCAGCACAGGAUACAAGGUUCAAAGUUGUCAUUCUUCAUCCUGCUUAGAAAUUUUAAGGAAAAUUGUAGGAAAAAAGAAAGAGAAAAGAUUAUCUCAA